AUUCUGAUAGUUAUUUCCCUCGGCAUUAUGAACGCGCAUCUAACCCACGGGACCGCGCUGCCCGGCACGUUCAUGUGAUGUGACGUGUUCAGCACCUCCCCCUUCACACGCGGUCACGUUCAGUGUUCACUGACACGUCACUGAGGCUAAAGAGACAACGCUUUAUAUAUACAGUCUAUGCUAACAACCGACAACAGUUUGCUCCAAAAGAUGGCAGAAAUAGCCGGAUCGACAUCCAGAGAGGAAAUCCUGAGGAAAGUGGGCCUCCCGCCAUACUUGGACAAGGUCCCAAUGUGUGGAUAAUAAGGAGCAGCUACGUUAGACGUGGGGAAGAAAGAGCCAGACACACCAUGGGAAGCAACCUGGGUCUCAAUUGCCGUGUGUGGUGGUUUGGCAAGGGUGGUCUGAGGUGGAGGAACCUUCUUCCCUUUUUCUAUUAGUCCUUGAGAGGAAGAACAGUCCCGGAUGUCCUGCUCAUCCACUGUGGCGGCAACGACCUUGGCAACAUCAAAGGUGUGGAGCUUGUCACAGCGAUGAAGCAGGACCUGCUUUCCCUCAGUGACAACUUCUCAGAGAUGAAGAAAAUUCCAUCUUCUAUCAAUGAGAGAUGUCACUGGAGGAAAGCCAAUCCGGGAAAGCUGAACAAGGCCAGAAUGUGGGUGAACAGAGAGAUGGGUAAAUGUGUUAGUGGUUUGGGUAGAGUGUAAGGCAUCCUUGCAUUAAGUUUGACUGCCGUGGCAUAUUUCUAAGAGAUGGAGUUCAUUUCACCAAUUUGGGAAAUGAUAUGUUUUUAAGUAACCUUAAACAGUCCCUUGAGGCUACAAUCUAAAGUGGUUCUGCAUUUUGGAUUCUAGCCUCAACAGGAUAUGUAUAUUUAACAAGAAUAACUUUUACAUUUGACAGGGCAGUCCUCCUUGUAAGGAUGUCUUCACUUACUCACACUAUUUUUUUUAAAUGUGUAAUUUAAUUAAAUUGUUCACUCACAUUCUGUGUUCUUCCUCUCUCUUAAACUUUAGUCCCCUUGUCUUUUUCUCUCUUUCCUUCACUCAUCUUAGUCCCCUUGUCUUU